rnacentral:rRNA from 1 species
UACGUAGGGUGCAAGCGUUGUCCGGAAUUAUUGGGCGUAAAGAGCUCGUAGGCGGUCUGUCGCGUCGGAUGUGAAAACCCAGGGCUCAACCCUGGGCCUGCAUUCGAUACGGGCAGACUAGAGUUCGGUAGGGGAGACUGGAAUUCCUGGUGUAGCGGUGAAAUGCGCAGAUAUCAUGAGGAAGACCAGUGGCGAAGGCGGGUCUCUGGACAGUUCCUGACACUGAGACACGAAGGCCAGGGGAGCAAACGGG